GGAGCAAACAGGAUUAGAUACCCUGGUAGUCCACGCCGUAAACGAUGUCGACUUGGAGGUUGUUCCCUUGAGGAGUGGCUUCCGGAGCUAACGCGUUAAGUCGACCGCCUGGGGAGUACGGCCGCAAGGUUAAAACUCAAAUGAAUUGACGGGGGCCCGCACAAGCGGUGGAGCAUGUGGUUUAAUUCGAUGCAACGCGAAGAACCUUACCUACUCUUGACAUCCACGGAAUUCGGCAGAGAUGCCUUAGUGCCUUCGGGAACCGUGAGACAGGUGCUGCAUGGCUGUCGUCAGCUCGUGUUGUGAAAUGUUGGGUUAAGUCCCGCAACGAGCGCAACCCUUAUCCUUUGUUGCCAGCGAUUCGGUCGGGAACUCAAAGGAGACUGCCGGUGAUAAACCGGAGGAAGGUGGGGAUGACGUCAAGUCAUCAUGGCCCUUACGAGUAGGGCUACACACGUGCUACAAUGGCGCAUACAAAGAGAAGCGACCUCGCGAGAGCAAGCGGACCUCAUAAAGUGCGUCGUAGUCCGGAUCGGAGUCUGCAACUCGACUCCGUGAAGUCGGAAUCGCUAGUAAUCGUGGAUCAGAAUGCCACGGUGAAUACGUUCCCGGGCCUUGUACACACCGCCCGUCACACCAUGGGAGUGGGUUGCAAAAGAAGUAGGUAGCUUAACCUCCGGGA
rnacentral:rRNA from 1 species